rnacentral:rRNA from 1 species
CCGGGCGAACGGGUGCGUAACACGUGAGCAACCUACCGAAAUGAGGGGGAUAGCCGGCCCAACGGCCGGGUAAUACCGCAUACGCUUCCUCUGGGGCAUACCUAGGGAAGGAAACCUUCGGGGCACAUGGAGGGGCUCGCGGCCUAUCAGCUAGUUGGCGGGGUAAUGGCCCACCAAGGCUACGACGGGUAGCUGGUCUGAGAGGAUGGCCAGCCACAUUGGGACUGAGAUACGGCCCAG